rnacentral:rRNA from 1 species
CCUACGGGAGGCAGCAGUGGGGAAUCUUGCGCAAUGGGCGAAAGCCUGACGCAGCCAUGCCGCGUGAAUGAUGAAGGUCUUAGGAUUGUAAAAUUCUUUCACCGGGGACGAUAAUGACGGUACCCGGAGAAGAAGCCCCGGCUAACUUCGUGCCAGCAGCCGCGGUAAUACGAAGGGGGCUAGCGUUGCUCGGAAUUACUGGGCGUAAAGGGAGCGUAGGCGGAUAGUUUAGUCAGAGGUGAAAGCCCAGGGCUCAACCUUGGAAUUGCCUUUGAUACUGGCUAUCUUGAGUGUGGGAGAGGUAUGUGGAACUCCGAGUGUAGAGGUGAAAUUCGUAGAUAUUCGGAAGAACACCAGUGGCGAAGGCGACAUACUGGCCCAUUACUGACGCUGAGGCUCGAAAGCGUGGGGAGCAAACAGGAUUAGAUACCCUGGUAGUCCACGCUGUAAACGAUGAGUGCUAGUUGUCGGCAUGCAUGCAUGUCGGUGACGCAGCUAACGCAUUAAGCACUCCGCCUGGGGAGUACGGUCGCAAGAUUAAAACUCAAAAUGAAAUUGACGG